GCAGACGGGUGAGUAAUGUAUAGGAAUCUACCUAGUAGUACGGAAUAAUUGUUGGAAACGACAACUAAUACCGUAUACGCCCUACGGGGGAAAAAUUUAUUGCUAUUAGAUGAGCCUAUAUUAGAUUAGCUAGUUGGUGGGGUAAUAGCCUACCAAGGUAAUGAUCUAUAGCUGAUCUGAGAGGAUGAUCAGCCACACUGGAACUGAGAUACGGUCCAGACUCCUACGGGAGGCAGCAGUGGGGAAUAUUGGACAAUGGGCGAAAGCCUGAUCCAGCCAUGCCGCAUGAGUGAAGAAGGCCUUUGGGUUGUAAAGCUCUUUUAGUGAGGAAGAUAAUGACGGUACUCACAGAAGAAGUCCUGGCUAACUCCGUGCCAGCAGCCGCGGUAAUACGGAGAGGGCUAGCGUUAUUCGGAAUUAUUGGGCGUAAAGGGCGCGUAGGCUGGUUAAUAAGUUAAAAGUGAAAUCCCGAGGCUUAACCUUGGAAUUGCUUUUAAAACUAUUAAUCUAGAGAUUGAAAGAGGAUAGGGGAAUUCCUGAUGUAGAGGUAAAAUUCGUAAAUAUUAGGAGGAACACCAGUGGCGAAGGCGUCUAUCUGGUUCAAAUCUGACGCUGAAGCGCGAAGGCGUGGGGAGCAAACAGGAUUAGAUACCCUGGUAGUCCACGCUGUAAACGAUGAAUGUUAAAUAUGGGGAGUUUACUUUCUGUAUUACAGCUAACGCGUUAAACAUUCCGCCUGGGGACUACGGUCGCAAGAUUAAAACUCAAAGGAAUUGACGGGGACCCGCACAAGCGGUGGAGCAUGUGGUUAAUUCGAUGCAACGCGAAAACCUUACCAC
rnacentral:rRNA from 1 species